rnacentral:rRNA from 1 species
UACGUAGGGUGCAAGCGUUAAUCGGAAUUACUGGGCGUAAAGCGUGCGCAGGCGGUGAUGUAAGACAGAUGUGAAAUCCCCGGGCUCAACCUGGGACCUGCAUUUGUGACUGCAUCGCUAGAGUACGGUAGAGGGGGGAUGGAAUUCCGCGUGUAGCAGUGAAAUGCGUAGAUAUCGGGAGGAACACCUGUGGCGAAGGCGGCCCCCCUGGUUGGAUACUGACGCUGAUACGCGAAAGCGUGGGGAGCAAACAGG